UGAGUAACACGUAGGUGAUCUGCCCAUCAGACGGGGACAACGAUUGGAAACGAUCGCUAAUACCGGAUAGGACGAAAGUUUAAAGAUGCUCCUGGCAUCACUGAUGGAUGAGCCUGCGGCGCAUUAGCUAGUUGGUGGGGUAAAGGCCUACCAAGGCGACGAUGCGUAGCCGACCUGAGAGGGUGAACGGCCACACUGGGACUGAGACACGGCCCAGACUCCUACGGGAGGCAGCAGUAGGGAAUCUUCGGCAAUGGGCGAAAGCCUGACCGAGCAACGCCGCGUGAAUGAAGAAGGCCUUCGGGUUGUAAAAUUCUGUUAUAAGGGAAGAAAGGUGAUAGGAGGAAAUGACUAUCAAUUGACGGUACCUUAUGAGAAAGCCACGGCUAACUACGUGCCAGCAGCCGCGGUAAUACGUAGGUGGCAAGCGUUAUCCGGAAUUAUUGGGCGUAAAGAGCGCGCAGGUGGUUAAUUAAGUCUGAUGUGAAAGCCCACGGCUUAACCGUGGAGGGUCAUUGGAAACUGGUUGACUUGAGUGCAGAAGAGGGAAGUGGAAUUCCAUGUGUAGCGGUGAAAUGCGUAGAGAUAUGGAGGAACACCAGUGGCGAAGGCGGCUUCCUGGUCUGCAACUGACACUGAGGCGCGAAAGCGUGCGGAGCAAACAGGAUUAGAUACCCUGGUAGUCCACGCCGUAAACGAUGA
rnacentral:rRNA from 1 species